CCCCUCCCAUGUUUGUUCACAGAUUCAGCAAUUUGUCUUUUACUUUGGAGGUAAUGGCCAGUGGACUCCUAAAUAUUUCACUGUACUAGCAGGUCCUGAGUCUUUGUAGAGUUCAUCUUCCACCCUUUGGAGCAUGUAUCUAACCAAGGCUUCUAGCAUACUGGCCACCUCUUCCUCUUUUGUCCAGUCAUCAUGAUUUUAUUGAUGUGAUGAAUCAGGGUGGUGUUCUGAGGGACUCAUAGGUGAUUCAGACCUUUUCAGACAAAAUUAUGGCAAAGGGUAAGAGUGUUACCAUAGCCCCAAGACAAAAUCGGAGAUCAAUAUUAUUGUCUAUUUCAUCUGAAUUCAAACCUUUUCUGAUCUUCUUUCCUAAUUGGAAUGGAAAAGAAUAUGUUGUCCAAAUCAAUGGCUAAAAACUAGGUACCUGAAGUUUUAUUAAUCUGCUUAGCACAGUAUCACAUCUGGCACAGUAACUAUAAUCAUCAGGUUUACUACUUGAUUAAGUCUGUAAUAGUACACAGUUAUUCUCCAGGACCCAGCUGGUUUCUGCACGGACCACAUUGGUCAUCAUGAGUGAAGUCUUGAGCCACUGAGCCACUACCACCUUGUGCCAAAUACUAUCUGUGCCCUGCCUGCCAACCAGGAUGACAACCCUUCACCUGCCAGGUGGAGAGAGACAGCAGCAGGCUAACUAGUUGUCUGUUAAGAACAUCCAGAGCAGGACCAGAAUCUGGGCCAGGAACUGAGAGACAGAUUGGGACAACGGAACAAAUCUACCAGGGUAUGCUGGCCAACUUAGUCUUCUAUUAUGAUCAAGGAAGGAUGGCGCCUGAGAGGUCAUUACUAUGUGACUGGUCUUCAUAUAUUGCUUCUAUGUUUGAUUCUUCCUCCAGAAAUGUUUCAAUAGCAAACUCAAUGAGUUUACGUAGCCAGAAUCUUAGUCAAUAACCUACUCUGCAGUAUCUUAGGGCUGACUUUGUACAUAUGGAAGUCAGCCAGAUCUCAUGAGUGGAUCAUUAAGCUAGAAUUAUUUUCUUGGCACACGUUACAGUAAGGUAAUAUAUGACCUAGGCCUAAGGCAGGCCAUCAACCUGUCAAGAGUAAUGACCCCCAGGGGUAAGGCCUUGCUGUCUCCACCUCAAGGAUGGGUCUUCAAAGUGGAGACAAUAUAGUCCCUAUGGUUUCUACAUGCUUAAUGAGUCUGUUAUGUGAAUUAUAAAGAUAAUAUCUAUGGGGACUUUGAGCUCCUACAAUAAAAAUGUAUAAAUAUAAUCCAAGAAAUUCUGGUAGACAAACAUUGUAAUAAUGCAUAUCAGUCUUUGUAUCUCCAUUUAGUUUUUUUAAAACUUGGCUUGUGUCCAGAAGUAUGCACAGAUAUACAUAGCAAAUGCUCAGUGCUGAAUGUUUAGCUAAAUCCUGUGCUUCAAAGCAAGGAUGAAUAGAUUUUCAUCAGAGCUCAGGACCUGAACUGUAGGCUUCCCUCACAAUGAGAAGUAAAGCUAAGUAUAGGUGAAUCCUGAGUGGCACAUAUUCUAUGAGAGUUUUAUACAUAAUUUGAAUGAUUGAUAUGCUGCAUCUUUCAUUGAAAUGAUUGUCAACCAAUAUUAUUUCAAGUGUUAUUUCCAUGCUAUUUCUAGUUCUGUAUGUUUUACGUAAUUAUAAAUGGCUUCAUAUUUUCAUGUAACAUUGUAUGAUAUGAUUUGGGUUCUAACAGGUUAUCCUUGACACCAGUAUAGAAUACCCAGAAUUAAUUUAAGGUAUAUUAUCAAACCACUAAAAUUAGGAUGUCCAUGAAUUCUGAAGGAGAAAAUAUCAUUUAGAUUGUGUGUGUGUGUGUGUGUGUGUGCGCGUGUGUGUGUGUCCUCUAAGUUUUAAACAUGAGGUGGUUAUAUAAAGGGGACUUCUAAAUUGGGAGAGGAUGAAAAUGGGCUAAAUAUUUCAAACAAACUUCAGUGUGAAAUCAGUAGUAUAUUCAGUAGAGGUGACAGGGAAAAAAGCUGUGGAGGAGAAAAGAGAACAAGAAAAUCAGGAAGCAGUAAAAAUGAUGACUGAGGUCAGGUGGUAAUGGUAACAUCAAGAAACUUGAAUCUGAUGGAAAAAAACCACGGGUAGCUAUAAAAGGGGCAUUCGAAAUAGGAAAUGAUGUGAGAGGAGAAGAUAAUUUUAGUAUAGUUAAAGGAGGUAGCAGCUAUAGGUGUGAAGAGAACGGAUUAAUUUUAAAUGUGUCCCAGAAGUAAGAGAAAUAUUUUUUUGAGGAGUGGGGGAGGAACAAUGAGAUAAACCUGGUUGAGUGUUUUAUGGUUAUCUCAAGUAAGAGUCCACUUGGAGUAUUAUGUCCAUUUUUGGACACCAUACUUUCAUAGGCAUGUUGAUGAACCAGGUCAUUCAAGACACCAGGGUAGUGAGAAGUGUGUUAAUAGUGCUUCUACCAGAGAGUUAGAGUGACAUGGCAGCUGUCCUCAUAUCUAUCGAUCUGUCAUAAGGAAGAAAGAUCACAUGCCUCUGCAUUGUUUAAAAGAAAGAAACAGACCCAAAGAAAGUCAGGAGGCAGAUUUUGCUCAAUAUAAUGAUCUAACAAUUAGAUGUGCCCUGUAACAGAGUGCGCUAUUGUAAAGUAAUGUUCUCCCAUCUUUCCAAGUAUUCAAGCAGAGAAUAGUCAAUAAUACAACUAACGACUGGAAGGGUUUCUUUUAUUCUAAGGUACUAUCAGAUGGAGGAACAUGUAGUUUGUGGUCAGUGACCUCAGGUUCUCACAUUCACGGUGCUGCAUCCUGGUUUUCAUUUGGGGACUGUUUUCUGGCACUCCCGCCUGUCUGGAGGUGAGAUAUGCUUGUUAUGACAACCCUUCUGUCACAAUAAAUUGGCUGGUGCAUUCAGUGUCAUCUAUGGCUUUUUACUUCUAUUAAUUCAUUAAUUCCGGGCCCCCAAGCGAAAGUUUCCAAAGGCCUUUUUUCUUCUUUGUUAAUUAUAACAUGAUAUCAAUCAGCACCCAAGCAGAAACUAGAAGAGUAUUCAAACUAGGUAAUUUGAGGAGAGUUUAAUAAAGCAACAGCUUACAAAGAUGUGGACAGUGGCUUAAGGAAGCCACUAAAGGAUGGCACAGUCCUCCAGGCUUGUGAUCAGGGGAGUCAUUACCAUCCCCCAGCCUGAAGAUCAAGAGGCUGGAGCUAUUUCCAGACCCUGAAGAGGGUGGUUGUAUGGAGAGGACUAUCUGAAAGAAGAGGCUGUAGCCAACACAAGAAAGCCAGGGAAUAAAUAAUCCAUCCUCACUCUCCUGCUGUUGCCUCUCAAUGGCCAAACCCAACCAUGAGCUGGGCAUGAAGGGAGCUAGCUGACAGCUAUAUGGCUCAGCUUCCUGGGGCCCAGAGCAGAGUGGAGCUGAGAAGAGAGUGAAUCUGGAGGGGUUAAUGGAAGAAACCACAGAAAGCAAAUUCCUCCCUGAGAUACAGUUGGUGCUUAGGCAAUAUUUGUACUGACAGGAAUGUGGCCACAUAUUUUGGAAAAGCUCAGGGACUCAAUCCUCUGCUAGCUGCUUUGAGGCCAUGUCUGCCGAAGUCACUGUCCUCUACAGGGUUUUUUCCUCAUGUUCAGUGUUUAGUCCUUUCCACCUUCACGAAAACGAUGCCUACUUAAUAUACAGAAAGGAGGACAUACAGAAAUUUUUCAUCUUAAUUGGAUAUUACAGUUGCCCCACUUUGGAGCCAAGAAGAGCUGAAUAAAGCUGAGAAACACCUAAACAGAAAGAAAAUAGCUGCUGCCCCACUCCUGUGCCAAAAUCUGCUCCAAGGGAUCCUAUCCUAGUCAGAAGGCUGUACUCUGAAUGCUGAUAUUAGCUACAACACCAAGGCUUCCCACUAUACAAACUGGAUCCUCAAAGUCAUCCACACCAAAUGAACUCUCUAUUCUUUCUCCCAGUAGCCUGAGAACUGGGUUUACCAGCCUUGGCCCUUCCUUUCCUUCUAGCCUCAAAACAGGAUGGGAACAGAGUCUUUGGCUGUGAGAAUGGGCUCAAUAACAAAAUAAAGAUGACAGAAGAGUCAGUGACUUCAAUGACAGAGCGAUAGAAAUUACCAAUAUAAACGGAGAGAAAAGAGAUUUUUUAAAAAUGAACAAAUCCCCAAGGACCUGUGAGACAAUAACUGUGUUAGGUUUUCUAAACUUACAAGUGUUUUUAUUUAUAUAUGGUAAGCAACUAUGCAUUAUUUGUGUCAGAAUUAUUUUUUGUAUAUAUUUAAGGUAUACAACAUGAUGUCUCAACAUACUUAUAUGUAGUGAAAUGGUUACUACAGUCACCACACUUAUUGUCUCACAGGUUAUUGUCUUCAGAAGGAGAGUAAAAAGAAUGCUGGGUAGAAGAAAUACCUGAAGAAAUAAUGGCCCAACCUCAAAUUUGGUGAAAGACAUAAACUUACAGAUUCAAGAAACUGAGUGUUCCCCAAACAGAAUAAACUUUAAAGAAUCCACACUCAAACACAUCAUAAUCAAACUUCUGAAAACUAACAACAAAGAAAAACUUAAAAUCAGCAAGAGAGAAACCACACAUUAUCAACUGAUGAAAAGUGACUCAAGUGACAGCAGAUUUAUAAUCAGAAACUUGAAGGACAGAAGGAAGAGGCAAAACAUUUUGAAAGCCCUAAAAGGAAAGAACUGUCAACCCAGAAUUCGACAUCCAGUAAAAAUAUCCGUCAAGAAUGAAUAUGAAGGAAAGCUAAGAAUGAAUAUAUCUUCUAUUUCUUUGCUAAAUUUUUCUACUUUUUCAUUUGAUGUAAGAGUGUUUAUAAGUGCUUAUGGAGCAUUUUUAUGAUAGUUGGUUUACAAUCCUUGUCUGAGAGUAGCUAUGUGAGAUGACGUAUAUAGUAAAUGGUGACUGUAGUAACCAUUUCACUACAUAUAAGUAUGUCAAAACAUGUUGUACACCUUAAAUAUACACAAAAAAUAGCUCUGACACAAAAAAUGCAUAGUUGUUAUUACCAUGUAUAAAUAAAAAUACUUGUAAGUUUAGAAAAUAAAAUCAUUGUCUGAUAAUUAUCUAAAUAAUAAAGUCCAUCUGUGUCAUCUUGGUGUUGGCAUCUAUUGAUCAUUUUUCAUUUGACUUGAAGUUUUCCUGAUAUGGUGAGUCAUUUUUGACUGUAUCCUGGACUUCUGGGUAUUAUAAGACUCUAGCUCCUAUUUGGAACUCGUAUUUUAUAAAGUAGUUAACUCUGUCUGUUCAGAAUGCACAUCCUAGCUGACUUUUGUGGGCUGUGAUUCAAAUGUUAAUUUAGUUUAUAAAACUUCUUCUACAGUGCCAUUCUGUAGGGGUUUAUAGUAGACAAAAUAAUUCCCCUCAGCCUAGAGUUCUAUACAUCUUAAUCCCUAGAACCUAAGAAUCUGU
rnacentral:lncRNA from 1 species